AUGGUUGAUCCUGCCAGUAGUCAUAUGCUUGUUUCAAAGAUUAAGCCAUGCAUGUUUAAUUCUUUGAUGGUACCCUACUACUCAGAUAACUGUAAUAAUUCUAGAGCUAAUACAUGCACCAAGUCUUGACACUUUGGAAGGGAUGCAUUUAUUAGAUAAAAGGCCAGCGCGAGCUUGCCCGCUUCUCCGGUGAAUCAUGAUAACUCAACGGAUCACACAACCCUUGUGCUGGCAAUGCUUCAUUCAACCAUGGUACCUUGACACCCAUUAUCAUCAUCGGUGGGUUGUCUCGCGUUUGUUAACGAUAUACAUCAAUGACUGGUAAUCAAAUGGUGUCUCACUAUGUUUGACCCCAACACAUCUAUUCACAUAGUGUAGACUCGUACCAUGACGGAUUGUUUUGAAGACUUCGGGUGAAGUACGAGCAUCACAUCUUUUGUGCUCAUACCCGACAUAUUAUACCACU
rfam:Picea glauca, whole genome shotgun sequence.